rnacentral:rRNA from 1 species
GACGAACGCUGGCGGCGUGCCUAAUACAUGCAAGUCGAACGCUGAAGAGAGGAGCUUACUCUUCUUGGGUGAGUUGCGAACGGGUGAGUAACGCGUAGGUAACCUGCCUUGUAGCGGGGGAUAACUAUUGGAAACGAUAGCUAAUACCGCAUAACAAUGGAUGACACAUGUCAUUUAUUUGAAAGGGGCAAUUGCUCCACUACAAGAUGGACCUGCGUUGUAUUAGCUAGUAGGUGAGGUAAUGGCUCACCUAGGCGACGAUACAUAGCCGACCUGAGAGGGUGAUCGGCCACACUGGGACUGAGACACGGCCCAGACUCCUACGGGAGGCAGCAGGAGGGAAUCUUCGGCAAUGGGGGCAACCCUGACCGAGCAACGCCGCGUGAGGGAAGAAGGGUUUCGGAUCGGAAAGCUCUGUUGUAAGUCAAGAACGGGUGUGAGAGUGGAAAGUUCACACUGUGACGGUAGCUUACCAGAAAGGGACGGCUAACUACGUG